rnacentral:rRNA from 1 species
UACGUAGGUGGCAAGCGUUGUCCGGAAUCACUGGGCGUAAAGCGCGCGCAGGCGGCGAUCUACGUCUGGGGUGAAAGCCCGGAGCUCAACUCCGGGACUGCCUUGGAUACGGGAUCGCUUGAGGAUUGGAGAGGCAAGGGGAAUUCCACGUGUAGCGGUGAAAAUGCGUAGAGAUGUGGAGGAACACCUGUGGCGAAGGCGCCUUGCUGGCCAAUUACUGACGCUGAGGCGCGAAAGCGUGGGGAGCAAACAGG